AAGAUUGAAAACUAUUGUACCUUUUUAAACUUUUACUAAACAACAGAGACCGCAGUGUCAAUUUGAAGAUUUUGUUGAUAAGAAUUGACAAGUGUUGAAUUUAUAUUAUUUGUUGUGGAAAGUGCCUUGGAAUGCAGCAUCGUUGACUUGCAUAUUUGAUGUUAGAACUUAGAAGAUUUGCUGUCAGAAAUCUUAUUGAAGAAACUACUCUGCUGCCAGCAACACAAUCGAAGCCG
rnacentral:lncRNA from 1 species